AUAAGCAUAAUUAAAUAAUAAUACUAGAUUGUGAUUCUGGAAUUGAAAGUUAAAAUCUUUCUACUUAUC
rnacentral:tRNA from 2 species